AUUUUUCCUAAGUCCUCUUUUUGGUGACAUGUAUAAACAGAGGUAGACUAUAAGGUUCCACCAUUCUUGAUUGAAAAUAGGGAAUAGUUUCGUUCAGGAUUUGAAAUUUUCCUAAGUUCUCUGUUUGGUGACAUGUAUAAACAGAGGUAUACUAUAAGGUUCCACCAUUCUUGAUUGAAAAUAGGGAACGUAACAUCAUCUAAUUACAACCAAAUUUAUAUUUAUUUUUUUUUGAAGUCUAUCUAGAUAUUAUAUUUAUCGAAUUGAAUAUGUGAUUGGAUGUAAUCAUUGGAUAUUCUAAACCUUUCUAAUCAAUGGUAAUCACUCCUACUAUAAGAACUGAUUCCAAACCCGUGAUGAAGUCCUAACGGACGAAACGCGUUUGGUUUUGCAACGUCUGGUUAACAAAGUCCUUAUCACAAGCAUCUGGUUGGAGAUACAUCCAUUUCGAGUUCUGACUGUGAUCACCUGGCUGUAAAAUCCUCACAUCCAACUGUAAUUUAUGUAUAAGAUUGUAAUAUUGUUUUAUAUGAAUUUUUAGAAGGUUGUGUCAAUAACGAACGCUUAGGAUAAAUAUCGUUUGUUUCUGUACAAUAAAAACUUUUAAUUAUUGUCAUACAAAAGGCAUAUUG